GGGUUAGGGGUUCAGUUCCCUGUCUAGCUCAACUGGUAGAGCAUGGCAUCAACACUGCCAGGGUUAGGAAUUCGAUUCCCUGUCUAGCUCA